CAGACGUUGCCUUACGGUAUACCUCCCAACCCUUGUUGAAUUAUACCUAUCGUUGCUUCGGCGGGCCGUCUCGACCACCGCUUUGACGCAAGCUGGACCAGGCGCCCGCCAGAGGACCCUAAAACUCUGUUUUAUUAUGUAUCUUCUGAGUAACUAAGCAAAUAAUUA
rnacentral:misc_RNA from 1 species